AAAAAAUAAAAGGAAAAUUCUCUAAGGAGAAACCUGCCCCGCCCAGCACCCCGGCGGGGAAUGUCCUGUCCCAACCCCGAACUCCUAUGGAGCGGGGACGGGAGGAGUGAUUUCUGUCCCUGACCUGCUCCGUUGUCAUUCCUACCACCAAAAUGGUGCCUAUCUUUGACACAAAUUAUACUUGCUUUAAAUCUCAAAUCUUUGAAAAGGCUUAGCGCAGAUCAUGAUACCUAAAGUUUGCCAUUAAUUCUUGUCUACUGAUCCCAAUUGAUUACAGUGUUUAUUUUAUUGUUUCUAGUUCUAUCCACUGUACUGCGAAGCAGUAUUGAAUCAGUAUAGUUCAAAAGUUUGUAAAUUCAAAUACACACUUUAUGAUUUAAUUGAAACAUUUUUCCCCUCGUCUUUUACAAGUCUCCAAAACUUAUUUAUAAAGGUCAGACUAUAAAUCCUUGGAUUUCAAAUUUCUUAUCCUAACAACUUUAAGGCACUGAAGAAAAAAAACUCCUUGGGGUGUAAUCAAAAGAAAAACCUAAUUCUGAAGAGGCAUUGGCUGAAUAAUUGUUGAAAUUGGAACACUUAUGAAGCUCUUACUGAUGCCCGAGGCAAAUGUUAUAAGAAAGAACUCUCAAAACAGCUGUCUGACCAGCCGUGCACAAUAAAUAAAUAGAAGACAUCCCACAUACUCCUAAAAAUAGCUAGACAUCCCACAUACUCCGAAAAAUAGCUAACUGCAUUGUACAACACACUUCAGUUCCUACUAGGAGUUCUACUUUCACAAACCAUGUUGUUCAGUCCAUUCUUUCCCUUAUGAUCCCUUUCCCUUCUCUCCCUUAUGAUCCCUUUGCCUUCUAACAAAUUAAAUAUAGAUACUCAAUGUGAAGAAUUUUCUAGGAUGCUAUGCUGUAAUAGAUAAUCCUUCGAGGAAUUCGACAAGUUCGUUGGGUUACAUGUUGUUCUUGGGGUAUCCUAUUAGUACAUGAAACCUAGUUUUUCAUAUAAUGAAAAAGGAAGUCUGCUUAUUUUUCAUACUGGCCUUCAAUUAUAUGUUUAUGACUAACUUUUAUGUUACAUUGUCAUUUUUAUCUUUCCAGA
rnacentral:misc_RNA from 1 species